AUUAGAAAAGGGCAGGAACAACAACAACAACAGGACCAGAGGAGCUGUGACAGCGACAACGAGGAAGAGACCAGGAAGACGAGACUACAGACCAGGAAGAGGAGUAACACUUCCUGAAGACAACAACCAAUCAAAAUGCCACCAUUCCUCCAUUCCACUUCCUGAAGACAACAACCAAUCAAAAUGCCACCAUUCCUCCAUUCCACUUCCUGAAGACAACAACCAACCAAAACACCACCGUUCCUCCAUUCCACUUCCUGAAGACAACAACCAAUCAAAACGCCACCAUUCCUCCAUUCCACUUCCUGAAGACAACAACCAAUCAAAAUGCCACCAUUCCUCCAUUCCACUUCCUGAAGACAACAACCAACCAAAACACCACCGUUCCUCCAUUCCACUUCCUGAAGACAACAACCAACCAAAACACCACCGUUCCUCCAUUCCACUUCCUGAAGACAACAACCAACCAAAACACCACUUCCUGAAGACAACAACCAAUCACCAUUUAAAUCCAGUUGUCUAUGAAGUUAUAGUCUUUUCUCAGUGAAAGGUCAUAGACAUGAAGCCUUUUUUUUAAAAUGAUACUUCUGUAUGUUAGCCAGCUUUUUAUAAAUCUGUUUGCAGUGUAGUGGUUGUAUAUGGCGGGAAAUACAAGAGAGCAGAAUGAAUCCGUUUGUGUUCUUACUGUAUUUUACAUCAGUGUUGCAUGUAUAAAAUAUGUUUUCCUAUUAGAUUAUGUGUCACGCCCUGUUUAUUCUCUACGUUGGUUGGGGCGUGACAGUGACUAGGGUGGGUUAUCUAGGUGAUUAAUGAUUUAUGUUGGCCCGGUAUGGUUCCCGCAUUCAGAGGCAGCUGUUUAUUCUCUAUGUUGGUUGGGGCGUGACAGUGACUAGGGUGGGUUAUCUAGGUGAUUAAUGAUUUAUGUUGGCCCGGUAUGGUUCCCGCAUUCAGAGGCAGCUGUUUAUUCGUUGUCUCUGAUUGGGGAUCAUGUUUAGGCAGCCAUUUCCCCUUUGUGCUUUGUGGGAUGUUGUCUAGGUAUAGUUGCCUCUGAGCUUCACGUUUCCAUUUUUUUCCUUCUCUUUAUUGUUUUGUUUUUCUUUUAAUUAAUAAGUUUCUUUUCCAAAAUAAAAGGAUGAAAACACCACGCUGCGUCUUGGUCCACUCGUUAUAACGAUCGUGACAUUAUGUUUAACCUGUGUAUGCAUUCUCUAUACUGGCUAUUGCCAUUUCCUUACAGAAAUCUACCACCACUUUUCAACGUGUGAUUUAUGGGGAAUUCAUCAAUAUUUCAUGUAUUUUUCUGAUUUGUAAACUAUAUUAUGAAACCCUACAACCCAAACCAAUCCCUAAUUGCUGUAACAAUAACAAUAAAUAUGACUAUAAAUCUU